UUUCAGUUGUGCAGCAAGGCUGGGCUUCCUGGUCUCUUUGGUGUCCUCAUGGUCAAGAGUCUGCAUGGUCAAGUGUCCCUAAGGAGCAGUAGUCAUUCCUAGCUCUUGAAAAGAGUGACCUUGAGCUGAUAGGAAUGGAUGAAAGUCUGACUCAGCCUCUUGAAACCAACAGCAGGGAGAACCCAGACAGGGUCUUGGUACAUAAUCCAGACUGGCCUUGAAUUCACUACAGAGCUCAUGCUGGACUCGAAUUCAUGACGACCUGCUUGCCUCAGCCUCUCAAGUGUUGGCAUUACAGAUCCAGGGAGGCCUGGCAUGAUCUGUGAAAUCCCAGCACUUGGGAGGCCGAGGCAGAAGGAUCCCCGGGAAGUUCAAGGCCAGCCCGAGAUGUCAUCUCAGAAACAAAACCAAAGUCUCUCCAGGAAGGCAGAGAGGAGACCUCCAACCCUCCACCCUGGCUGCACACUGCAAUCAGGAACUUCUCAGUUUAAUACAAAUUUCCAGGAUGGGAGCUGUGCCAUGAUUUUCAAAAAGUUCCCAGUAUCACCAUGUUGUCCACACUGGUCUUAACCUUACUGGCUCAACUGAUCCGUUUGCCUGGCAGCUGGGACGACAGGUGUGUUUUUCUACAUUGCUGGCUUUGCUCUUUUUCCAAGGACUGGGGAUUGAACCCAGGGCCUUGCACACAGUAGGCUAGUACUCUAUCACCAAGCUACAUCAACUUUUUUGCUUUUUCUUUUGAGAUGGGGUGGGCACCUCCAGUCUGGGCUCACUACUGACUUCUAACACUUGUCACAAUGUUUGAGAGAGACAGGAUUGGUUUACUUUCCCCCUUGCAAUGUGUGACUCUCCCGUGACCCAUCCUGCAUGUCCCUGAGUAGGCUUUGAAGUUCCCAGUACAUAUCCCCUAUACCUGCCACAGCCCAGUGCAGGGCUCCCCAGUGUCAGCACCCCCAACAGAAGGUGAGGACCAUCAGGCAGCACACUGCAGGCCAGAGUCCAGUCCAGACUGGAAGCCGAUUUCCUCCUCUUUUUCCUCUGUCCAGUUUCAUCAAGAUCUCAGAACCGAUUUGGCCGUUCCAUCUCCAUCUGCCACAGCCUGAAGUGGGCCUCGGCCUUUGGUCUAAGGUUCUCCAGAGCAGGGACAUCUCGGUCUUCCAUGGGCCUGUGAGGAGUGGGCAGUGCGAUCUGGGUGGUGGAACAGAAGGCUCGAAGGCCCAGAGAUCCAGCAUUGUGUACUCAGAGCCCAGAGACCAGGUCCUGUGCCAUCAGAGUUCUCAAGCUUUGGGGUGUCAGCCCAGCUCAGUGCAGCUCCUCUGCGCACCUGCUAGCUGUGGGGCAAAUGGGGUGACUUCUGAUAGCCUCUUGGUCCCCGGUGCGACGCCAGAAUCCCGGGCCUGCACCUCAGCCCACAGCCCUGUCCCUCGGCCACAGUGACGGCUCCUGCAGGGAAGGGACCCGAGCUGCCGCUGGUCUCCGUGUGGGGCUGGCCCUGGCUUAGGGUUCUCGGGAGUAACAGGCACGGGAUAAAAAUGAGGAUAAUAAUACAGGGCUCUGUUAGAUGGGCUUUGGGGAUGGGGUGGAAGUCUUCAUGGCGCCUGCGGCAGCAGAGGAAAAAAAUAAAA